AUUUUUUAUUAUAUCGUGAAACUAAAAUCCGAGUUCCGAACUGAGUUAAAUGACUCGGUGGUGGAAUGGGCAGAGAGCUACAAUAUUAGAAAGAGAAGAGAAGCAUGUGAAAUGUGAAUGGUAUAGGGUGGCUCAGUGGAUGUAUGAAGUGACCAAACAGUGAGGCGACUCCAAGUCUUGGCACAGAAAACUACAAGCAAACCAUUGACUGGCCGUUAAAGACUUAAUACAAGUACAAGGAACAUGGCUUUCUCGUCAAAGAUGGUGGGUUCUUUGAAGAAAAAUGUUUUAAUUAAGUCCUGUAGAGUCUUCUUUACUACUAAAAUAAUCUCAAGAAUUGAGCAAGUUGCUUAAUUUAACUUACCAACUUUAUAAAUAUGUUUAAUGUGUUAAUCAAGUUGUUAUAGAGAUUAAGCUUUACACGUCUCUUUUUAGCCUAGAUGGAUCAUCAACAAGUACCUUGGUGUCUUAUUAACUAGGUAGAAUCUAGGUGCUCCAUAGACCCUUUAAUUUCUAGGGUUUCAUUAUAUAUAUUAGGCCUAGGAGGAAGCUUGGGAGGAAAUUUAGGACAAUUUGUCAAAAUGCAAUUCCAUGGUAUUUUCUUCAUUUUCCCUAA